rnacentral:lncRNA from 1 species
GCGGAGGCGGGGUGGGCGCCACUGCCGCCCCAGGGUCACGCGUGGGGCGGGCGCCGCGGCUCGGGGGAGCCCCGCCGCCCCCUCACCCGAGGGUCCGGCAGCGGGAGGCAUGGAGCCCCGUCCCGAGAGCCCGCAGGACACCCCGAGCACGGCGGACACUGCUGCCGAGUUCCUGAGCCUCAUCGGGCUGAAGGAGCUGGAGUGGUGCCUGUUUGCUGAGACGCUGGCAGUGGUGACUCCACCGAGGGACAAGGCAGAGGGCCAGUGGUGGAUGGCAGCCCAGUGGGCACCCUACCAGCGGGAAGGUGAGCCGGUGCAGAGCUGCAUCCUGGUGCAAACCAGGUUCCGAGGCAAGCAGGAUGGUGUUCCUGCCUCCAGCACCCUCAAAGGUGAGCCAGGGGUGGCUUUUAGGGGGUUCCUUCCUCCCCAGGGCUGGAACAUCCCUGUCCACCAGCCCCCAGGGCUGGGAACGGGGACAGUGCCAACAGGAUUGGUUGACCAUGGCUUUGCUCUGGCAGCCUACGUGACCUGGCAGCUGGAGACCCUGGAGCAGGAGGAGCAGGAGUGCCUGGAGGUGAUUGAUAUGGUGGUGGCACGUCCCCGUCCCUGUGUCCUACCCGCUGCCCU